AUUGAACGCUGGCGGCCGGCCUAACACCUGCAAGUCGAACGAGUGGCGGACGGGUGAGUACUGUCUGGGAAACUGCCUGCUGGAGGGGGAUAACUACUGGAAACGGUAGCUAAUACCGCAUACAAUCAGAUGUGCCCAGCUGGGAUUAGCUGUUUGGUGGGGUAACGGCUCCCCAAGGCGACGAUCCAUAUCUGGUCUGAGAGGAUGACCAGCCACACGGGAACUGAGACAGGGUCCAGACUCCUACGGGAGGCACAAUUGGGGAAUAUACCACAAUGUGCGCAAGCCUAAGGCAGCAAUGCCGCGUGUAUGAAGCAGGCCUGCGGGUUGUAAGGUACUUUCAGCGGGGAGGCGUUACCCGCAGAAGAAGCACCGGCUAACUCCGUGCCAGCCGCCGCGGUAAUUC
rnacentral:rRNA from 1 species